ACACAGGGCGGUGGCGGCGGCGGUGGUGGUGAUGGUGACGGUGCUGUGCUACAGGUCUUCGGGAUAUGACAACGACCUCUUUUUUGUGUUGCUUUUGUUGCCCAAGUGAUAUGUCUGUCUGCCUGUUAGUCCAUCUGUUUGUCACAGGGCUUCAAUACCCUCUGGCAGAAUACGGAAGAGAAGAGGGCUUGGUUUUUGGCCAAGGGCUAUUGGAGAGAUAGGGGUGGGAUGGGGAGACAGAGAAACAGAACGAAAGGAAUUUGAGACGAGAGGAAGGAGGAGAGAAGAGCAAGGGGAGGGCACUGGCGGCAGAGCUGAGAAGCCCAGGCUGCCCUUUACCUCCACCUCCAGCCUGGGCACAGGGGCGAGCUCUGAGCUCAGAGACUCUGAGUCCUGCCUCUUGGGGCCUUGGGGAGAGGACCCCAGGGCUCCUGUAGGGUCUGGGCCCAACCCCCAAACCCUGGGGGCAGCUGGGUUGGAGUCCUGGGGUCAGUAUUCGGGGUGCAGGUGUGGGGUGCAGUGACCGAACUGCCCUCAUGGGAAAAGGAGGGAGGGGAUUGCAGGUACCUAGGGGGCAUGAACCUGGGCAUGCGUUGACUUAGUGUGUGUGGUCUCUUUGCAGCAGGGUUGUUGAGAGUGUGCGUGAGGUUGCGAGUACGCUAGGACUCUGUGUGGACACCUAUGAACAUACAUGACCCAGUGGCAGACAAGCUGGGAUUUCAGUGGGGAGGGGAAGGACUGCAGGAAUGUGUGUCUAUGACCGGCAGGGAGUGGUUGUCUAUGUGUGGAAGGAUUUGUGUGAACCUGCCUUACAUGUUCUUGGGGAGGCUGUAUCCUGUGUAUGUAGGCAGGUGAACUGUAUAGCUCUGUACAAUUGUGUGUGGUGUGUGUGUGUGUGUGUGUGUGUGUGUGUGUGUCUGGAUGAAUAUGUACCAUGUGUUUGAAUUGCUUAAGUAUUUACAUGUUAAAUGUGUAACUGCAUAUAAGUGUGGAUGUGUAUACAUGUUUGUAAUUGUCUUGAGGUAUAUGUGUGGAGUUACCUGUAUGAGUCUUGCCUGUAGGUUGUGUGUGCAGUUGUGUGUAUUUGUGGAGCAGUGAAUAUUAGGAAGCUGUUCACAUGUGCGGUUGUGUAUUUUGGGGGAUUAGGUUAUAUGUGUCGUUCUUUUUGGAUGGAGUUUCACUCUUGUCACCCAGGCUGGAGUGUAGUGUCAGGAUCCCGGCUCACUGCAACCUCUGCCUCCUGAGUUCAAGCAAUUCUCGUGUCUCAGCCUCCCGAGUAGCUGGGAUCACAGGUGUGUGCCACCACGCCUGGCUAAUUUUUGUAUUUUUAGUAGAGACGGGGUUUUGCCAUGUUGCCCAGGCUGGUCUUGAACUCCUGGCCUCAAGUGAUCUGUCCACCUCGACCUCCCAAAGGGCUGCGAUCACAGGUGCGAGCCACCGUGCCUGGCCUAUAUUUGUGGUUCUUAAGGCUAUACUUUAUUUUUUAUUUUUUGUUUAUUGUCAAACUUCCCCUGUCAGAAUGUAAACUCUAUUAGGACUGAAAUUUUUAUCUAUUUUGCUAACUAUUUUGCUAAUCUAUUCCUAGUGUCCAGAAUAGGGCCCAACACUUAGUAGGCACUGUAUACAUAUUUCUCCAAUGAAUGAUGAAUGAAAGUGUGCAUGCUUGGCAGGGUGUGGGAAGUGUGUUAGGUGUAUGAAUCGUGCGUGUGUGUCUGGGUGUGUGAAUGGAUAAAUUUUUUGUGUCUUGAGUGUGUGAGGUUUCUAGCAUAAGUGGCCUAUGAACCAAGUACGUGCACAGGUGCAUGUGUGUCUAGGCGUGUGACUGUGUACCUGAAGCUGGGCCACGUCUGUGAGCAUUGCACACAACUGUGUGCAUGCACAGUUGUGUGUGCUUGUACAUGGGGGUGGGAA
rnacentral:lncRNA from 1 species